CAUUUGAAACUGGCAGGCUAGAGUCUUGUAGAGGGGGGUAGAAUUUCAGGUGUAGCGGUGAAAUGCGUAGAGAUCUGAAGGAAUACCAGUGGCGAAGGCGACCCCCUGGACAAAGACUGACGCUCAGAUGCGAAAGCGUGGGUAGCAAACAGGAUUAGAUACCCUGGUAGUGCACGCCGUAAACGCUGUCUACUUGGAGGUUGAGGUUUAGACUUUGGCUUUCGGCGCUAACGCAUUAAGUAGACCGCCUGGGGAGUACGGCCGCAAGGUUAAAACUCAAAUGAAUUGACGGGGGCCCGCACAAGCGGUGGAGCAUGUGGUUUAAUUCGAUGCAACGCGAAGAACCUUACCUACUCUUGACAUCCAGUGAACUUUCCAGAGAUGGAUUGGUGCCUUCGGGAACACUGAGACAGGUGCUGCAUGGCUGUCGUCAGCUCGUGUUGUGAAAUGUUGGGUUAAGUCCCGCAACGAGCGCAACCCUUAUCCUUGUUUGCCAGCACGUAAUGGUGGGAACUCCAGGGAGACUGCCGGUGAUAAACCGGAGGAAGGUGGGGACGACGUCAAGUCAUCAUGGCCCUUACGAGUAGGGCUACACACGUGCUACAAUGGCAGAUACAGAGGGCAGCGACGCUGCGAAGUAGAGCGAAUCCCUUAAAGUCUGUCGUAGUCCGGAUUGGAGUCUGCAACUCGACUCCAUGAAGUCGGAAUCGCUAGUAAUCGUGGAUCAGAAUGCCACGGUGAAUACGUUCCCGGGCCUUGUACACACCGCCCGU
rnacentral:rRNA from 1 species